CCUACGGGAGGCAGCAGUGAGGAAUAUUGGUCAAUGGACGAGAGUCUGAACCAGCCAAGUAGCGUGAAGGAUGACUGCCCUAUGGGUUGUAAACUUCUUUUAUAUGGGAAUAAAAUGUUCCACGUGUGGGAUUUUGUAUGUACCAUAUGAAUAAGGAUCGGCUAACUCCGUGCCAGCAGCCGCGGUAAUACGGAGGAUCCGUGCGUUAUCCGGAUUUAUUGGGGUUAAAGGGAGCGUAGGUGGAUUGGUAAGUCAGUUGUGAAAGUUUGCGGCUCAACCGUCAAAUUGCAGUUGAAACUGGCAGUCUGGAGUACAGUAGAGGUGGGCGGAAUUCGUGGUGUAGCGGUGAAAUGCUUAGAUAUCACGAAGAACUCCGAUUGUGAAGGCAGUUCACUGGACUGCAACUGACACUGAGGCUCGAAAGUGUGGGUAUCAAACAGGAUUAGAUACCCUUGUAGUC
rnacentral:rRNA from 1 species